UCUACGGGUGGCAGCAGUGGGGAAUAUUGCACAAUGGGGGAAACCCUGAUGCAGCGACGCCGCGUGAGUGAAGAAGUAUUUCGGUAUGUAAAGCUCUAUCAGCAGGGAAGAAAAUGACGGUACCUGACUAAGAAGCCCCGGCUAACUACGUGCCAGCAGCCGCGGUAAUACGUAGGGGGCAAGCGUUAUCCGGAUUUACUGGGUGUAAAGGGAGCGUAGGUGGCAUGGUAAGCCAGAAGUGAAAACCCAGGGCGCAACUCUGUGGAUUGCUUUUGGAACUAUCAAGCUAGAGUGCUGGAGGGGUAGCGGAAUUCCUAGUGUAGCGGUGAAAUGCGUAGAUAUUAGGAGGAACACCGGUGGCGAAGGCGGCUUACUGGACAGAAACUGACACUGAGGCUCGAAAGCGUGGGGAGCAAACAGGAUUAGAUACCCGGGUAGUC
rnacentral:rRNA from 1 species